rnacentral:rRNA from 1 species
CUGAUGCAGCGACGCCGCGUGCGGGAUGACGGCCUUCGGGUUGUAAACCGCUUUUGACAGGGACGAAGCGCGAGUGACUGUACCUGUAGAAUAAGGACCGGCCAACUACGUGCCAGCAGCCGCGGUAAUACGUAGGGUCCGAGCGUUGUCCGGAAUUACUGGGCGUAAAGAGCUUGUAGGCGGUUCGUCGCGUCGUUUGUGAAAACUUGGGGCUCAACCUUAAGCUUGCAGGCGAUACGGGCGGACUAGAGUACUUCAGGGGAGACUGGAAUUCCUGGUGUAGCGGUGAAAUGCGCAGAUAUCAGGAGGAACACCGGUGGCGAAGGCGGGUCUCUGGGAAGUAACUGACGCUGAGAAGCGAAAGCAUGGGUAGCAAACAGGAUUAGAUACCCUGGUAGUCCAUGCCGUAAACGGUGGGUACUAGGUGUGGGGCUCCUUCCACGGACUCCGUGCCGUAGCUAACGCAUUAAGUACCCCGCCUGG